UGGAAUAAAGGAGAAUGGAAAAAAGU
rnacentral:piRNA from 1 species